CCUAGGAGCUGAGCCGAACAAGGAGCGGUGGCAGGGUGUGCGGGCGCCCUCCCUGAGCUGGAUCACUGAAGCCGAGGGCACUGCAGGGACUUCACCAGCACAAUGAUGAGACCAUUCAGCUACAUACCAAACUGGAAGGCUGGGGAUGGAGCACAAGCCUUACCUCCACACCAGAUAGAAGCCAGCUUGGUCUACACAGCAGACUCUAGGCUGGCUCGGGCUGCCGCUGUCUCUGUCAGUGACUCCAAAACCAGUAUUCCCAGGCUUCUAACACAGUGUGAAGACCAGGAACCAUGGAGACAUCCAGCUUCAAGGACAGAAUGACAACUGUGUUCUCAGCCUCUCUGGGAACGCUGGCUAAUGCACUAACUGAAAAAAAUAAUAAGAAUCAAUAAAUACAAGGAUUUGAAUCACAGCAAUAUUGAGAAUCGCCGAAAGAGUGAAACUCAGAGGACAACCGAUGUUACACGCAAGAGGAUGGUUUUGGUUUGGCGUGGGCCAGAUCCGCAAGCUUCCCUGAGAUGGUAUGUUAGAUGCUGACUGGGGCCUGGAGCCACAGAUAUCAGUGAAAUAAAAAGACCUAUGGCACGCCCCUGGGGGAGACGGACACCUAAACCAACAGCCAAGGUACAGUGUUAGAAAGUCCAACGACAGACUGUUGAGAUUUCAUUCCCGCACAACGUUGGGGAAAGAAGAGCGGAAUUAUUAUUACAGGCUGGCUCCGAGGUGCCCCCAGAUCCCGUGUCUGUUUGUGGAUGUCCUUGUUAUACUUGAUCUGAGUACCAAAGUUGAGCUGCAAUGGGUGUUCUCUUUAAAAUGGGCCAUGGCAGAGAAAGAGGCCCAUGCUAAAAGCUGUUGGGUAAGGAGCCCCAGGUUGAAGAGCAGCAGGUAGCACGAGUGGGUGAAGCAUCUAGAGAUGGGGCUGGGGAUAUGACUCAGUUGGUAGAGUGUAGCCUGCCUGCGUGGCUGAAGGCCUGGGUUUGAGCUUUAGCACCCCAUAAACUGAGCAUGGUGAUGCUCACCUGCAAUCCCAGCAUGCAAAAGGAUCAACAGAAGAGUUCAAGGCCAUCCUCAGCUAUUUCGAUAGAUAAGGAGGGUACAUAAGCUACACGAGACCCUGUCUAAAACGGAACGAAACAACAAACAAGGGCCAGGAACACGGGGAUAGGUAAAGGGAUUUCCAGGCAAGCUUAAAGACUGAACUUUGGAUUCUCAACACAUAUUUAAAUACUGCUUGCUGGGCAUGGUGGCCUUCCUGUAACUGCAGGGCUCAGGAGAUGGACACAGAGGAUUCCUGGGGUAACCUGGUUAGCUGAACCAGCAAGCUCUGGGGUGAGAUGAGACCCUGACUCAGUAUAAAAGGUAGGAAGUGAUUGUGAAAGACAACUCAACGUCAAUGACACACACACACACACACACACACACACACACACACAAAUCUGGGAAAGCUGUGGCAGGCAUCCAGCAGGAGAUGGCAAAGACAGGGCGGUGGCAAGGAUUACACAUCCAGUGUCCAGGUCAGCCUUGCUUGCAUUCUUUGCUGCAGACCCACAGCCGAUCCAGUCCUUCUCCAGCAAGGAUAUCAGAAGUGUGCCCCUGCCUGGGUUCUUUCCCCAGCACAGGGACCGAGGCUCUUACACUUUUCCCAGCCAGGACUGCCCCAGCUGGAUUCCUGGUCUCCUCUCAAUUCCCUAUUCUAUCUCCCCACAUGAAGUCUGGAACAGCCCUGGCUAGAUGAGGUAACUCCUCCACACCUGCCCUCCUCAUUCUUGGCUGAAACCCUGUGUGGUCUGUGAAGCUCUGGGCAUGCCCAGGACUGGCCCAGAAGGGGACGGAGUGUGGGGAUGGAGGCAUCACUGGAGAUGCUGCCAUGUCUCCACAUGCUCACUGUAGCCCAGCAACCUUUGGGACUGCCCACUUCUCGGGCAUCAUUAACAGGUGUGUCCCAGAACCAGACAGUUGCUAGUGUCAUAUGCGUGGGUCACCUCUGCUAUGCCAAUAGUUAAUUUUAGCACCAGCCACUUCUCUUUGGGCAUGCUAGUCCAAGAGGGUGAUGUUAGGCGUCUACCCGCAAAGUUCAUCCUGAGGUAGUCAAUCACAAGGGAGAGAGGUGGGGCUGGCCCUGGGCUCACGUGCUAUGGCCACACCUCAAGCAGAGCACUUUACAAAUCUUUUAGGUUUUUCCUUUUCUUCCUCUUUUCCAUCCUCUUUUCCCCCCCUUUCAAUCCCCCUACCUCUUAAUAAAUAUUUUUAUUUUAUUUUUAA